rnacentral:rRNA from 1 species
CACGUAGGGGACGAGCGUUGUCCGGAUUCAUUGGGCGUAAAGCGCGCGUAGGCGGCUCGGAAAGUCGGUCGUGAAAUGCCGGGGCUCAACCCCGGGACUGCGUCCGAUACUCCUGAGCUGGAGGCAGGUAGGGGAGAUCGGAAUUCCUGGUGUAGCGGUGAAAUGCGCAGAUAUCAGGAGGAACACCGGUGGCGAAGGCGGAUCUCUGGGCCUUGCCUGACGCUGAGGCGCGAAAGCUAGGGGAGCGAACAGG